CCAGACUCCUACGGGAGGCAGCAGUAGGGAAUCUUCGGCAAUGGACGAAAGUCUGACCGAGCAACGCCGCGUGAGUGAAGAAGGUUUUCGGAUCGUAAAACUCUGUUGGUAGAGAAGAACGUUGGUGAGAGUGGAAAGCUCAUCAAGUGACGGUAACUACCCAGAAAGGGACGGCUAACUACGUGCCAGCAGCCGCGGUAAUACGUAGGUCCCGAGCGUUGUCCGGAUUUAUUGGGCGUAAAGCGAGCGCAGGUGGUUUAUUAAGUCUGGUGUAAAAGGCAGUGGCUCAACCAUUGUAUGCAUUGGAAACUGGUAGACUUGAGUGCAGGAGAGGAGAGUGGAAUUCCAUGUGUAGCGGUGAAAUGCGUAGAUAUAUGGAGGAACACCGGUGGCGAAAGCGGCUCUCUGGCCUGUAACUGACACUGAGGCUCGAAAGCGUGGGGAGCAAACAGGAUUAGAUACCCUGGUAGUCCACGCCGUAAACGAUGAGUGCUAGAUGUAGGGAGCUAUAAGUUCUCUGUAUCGCAGCUAACGCAAUAAGCACUCCGCCUGGGGAGUACGACCGCAAGGUUGAAACUCAAAGGAAUUGACGGGGGCCCGC
rnacentral:rRNA from 1 species